AGAUGAUAUUAAAUUAAUCUGUUUGUUCACAUAGGGAUUACCUGGUGAAAUCGGCGUCUCUGGAAAACCAGGAGAACCAGGAAAACCGGGCCUGCCAGGAAAAGAUGGAUUAGAUGGUUUCCCUGGAAAUGACGCUGAGAAGGGGCAAAGAGGAGAACCCGGACAGGACGGCUUCCCUGGUAAACCAGGACCUAAGGUAAAGGGUGACUAGUGCUUUAAGUUCUGGGUUGGAAAUCCAAUUUUUUCCCCCAUCACCAAUGCCAGUUUCUCUCUCUCUCUCAGGGAGAUGAAGGCCCUCCAGGACCACGAGGACCUCCUGGUGAACGGGGAGAGCCUGGUUUGCCUGGAGAGCUCGGCCCAGUGGGACCCAAAGGAGAGAGAGGAGGUCAAGGAGAGAGAGGACAGGAUGGAUUUACUGGCUCGAAAGGAGAGAAAGGAGACAAGGUGAGAGACAAGAGAAAGUUUAAAAAUGCAGAUAGUAAUCAGUAAUUUUAUUACAU
rnacentral:lncRNA from 1 species